ensembl:lncRNA
CACCAGACAGGAACUGAAGCAGCACCUCCAUCGUUGGAGCCUGGCUACAAGGGACAGGGGAGGACUGGCUAGAGAAGAGGUGGCAGAAGGUCAGAAGGACCCGGUGCUGGGCUGCUGAUGCCGAGCCGGACCUCCUCCUGACCUGGGGUGGCCGGUGGGUGGGCUGAGCCUCAGGAGGCGGCGGUGUGGUGAGGGGAUGUGCUGAGGAGAGGAGGAGGCCAGUGCCUCCCGUGUCUCCCAACCAGGGAUCUGUGACUGACGAUCGUUCCUCACUUGGGACCAGCACAAGCCACCACCAACUUCAGGCAGGACUCCAGAGAAGACUCUUGCACAUCCUGAACGGCCAGCAAAGUUUCAAACCGGGCAAGCUGAUGGCCGGGCAGACCGGGGAGAUUAGCAUACGGGAGCCCUGCGGAGGGCAGGCAGUCUGGAAGUCCCAAAGAGCUGCCAUUUCAUGCAUAUGCAGCACUUUCCCAGAGCCAAAGGCAAUGGGACUGCAAUCACUUUUUUCUGUGUAUCUAUUCGAAGGUAGAAGCAGGUAUGCGGUUUCCUAAAGCUGCUGCCGAAACAGUGUAGAUAUGCCUAAUUUGGUAAAAAUAAACAGUAAGGAUUUCAAAGGACA